CCUGCUGCGGAGUUGUUCAGUGUUGAGGAACUCUGGUCAUGUGUUUCAACAGAUUCCUGACAUCCAUCCAGCCGUGAGAGAUGUGAUGAUGAAUCAGACGUUCAACAUCAUCAGCCUUCAAUUCCCAGAGUUCGAAACGCUGGACUGGAUUGCAUGGUUCGAAGUAAAGCUGAUUCCCAUCCUCCCCAGUUUUAAUGAAGUCAUGCUCACCAUUGCUACCUCAAACGUCAACUGCACCAACUACCAAGUCAUGUGAGUAGGGGCCAACUUCCUGCUAAAAUUAGCCAUGGAUUCGAUGACUAAAAUCUAUUGCAAACGUGGGGUGGGUAUCUAUAGCAAGCGUCAUGAGUAUAUAUUUUCCCAUUUACAGUGUAAGAGGAAUGGACAGAGCUUUCCCUGAUAUGACUUUGGGUAGAAAAGAAGGAAUCGCAAGAGUCUUGCUGGAAUACCUGAGGAGAUCUGUUCAGCUCAUCAAUGGACCAGCUUGCAGGCAGAAAAUCCACAAUGAUGCUGACUGGCUUGCAAUCAACCUGGGGCCAUUCUCCGAAUACACAAGCUAUUCUGAUCUCAAAGUCUUCAACAUCUCAGGGGUGGCAAUACUAGACUCCCUCUCACCAAACCAGAAAGCCGAGCUGAUACUGGACCCCACAAACCUGGCAAAUCAAUCUCUUGUGCAAGAGGUUUUCCUAGGGGUUCUGGGAUCUUCAGGUGUGGCGGAGAUUGGUCAAUUUUUCCAAUCAUUUGUGGAGGUUGCUUCAAAGAGAAACCUGACAGCUAUUGAGCCAGGACUGCGAGAUACCCUCUUAAAUCUGACACUGACGGCACUCGCCCCCAAAUUGCAGACACUAGAUACUCUGGGAUUCAAGCUUUGGUUCCAGGUCUAUCUCCCGUUAUUCCUCCCAAGCAUUCAUCCUGGGACCUUUUCCGUCAUCCCAAGGAAUAUCAGCUGUGACUCCUAUAGUGCAAUCAUCAAGGGCUGUGAUAAUGUGAUCACUAGGUUGUCGCUGAUCCAGUCCCAGCAAGUCUUCGUGUUCACCAAGGAUUAUUUGACAGGCCAAUCCAUUGAAGGAUUUUCCUGUGUGAAGACUGUGAGAGAUGACAGGGAUUGGCUCGGAAGCAACUUUGGACAAUUCCGGGUCUAUGCUUCCUAUGUGGACUUUGUGACCCUGAAGAGUGAUUUCAAUGGAGUGAAAGCAGCAGAUCUCCUCACUCCCAUCCAGCUGGCUCAGCUCGCGACGAUUCCCUCCCAACUUGAAGGGGCACAGGGUGUCAACAAGAUCAUGGCAGCAAUCAGUCCGGCUAACUUUGGAUUGUUCUUUGACAUACUCUCACCUGCCAUUCAGAAACACAUGAAGAACUACACAGAAGAGGUGAAAUCAGCUUUCCUCCAGGUGGUGCUGGACAGCGGGAACCUGUCCUCCACCACCAUCAACGACACACAAUUCCUUGUUUGGCUCAGGGUUCGGCUGAACCCCCUCUUGCUGAACCUCUCAUCCAAUCAAGUGACACCACUCUUCCGCAUCAUGAAGGAUAGGGGCUGCAACAGCAGCCAAGAAGCAAUCUCAUUAUUAGACACUCUGCGGUCUACACUGACUAAAGACACACAGAGGGAAAUCUACAGCAAUACCUUACUCCUCCUGAAAGAGCCAACGCCACUGCGAUGCUAUGUAAACGGAAGCUUCUACUCGUUUUUGAGAAGCACGUUCCUUGGCUUUGGAUUCCCUGACCUGUCAAUGCUUUUCACGCUCAUGCCAGACACACGCCAACCUGAGCUCCUGAAUUCCAUAAGCUCCUCUGAGCUGAGUCAGUUCCUCAGUCAACCUGAUGUGGUUGGCAACGGUUCCAACAUAUGUGCUGUCUUCAACAACUACGCCAAGACGCCUGUCUUCCUGGAAACAGAGGAUGUCCCUGAUGCUGUGAAGCAGCUGACCCUUCCCUGUGUCUGGUCGUUAGCUCUGAACAGCGGCAAUAGGUCAGAGGUGAAUGCCUGGUUUGACCUCAGACUGAAGAACUACUUGAGGUUCCUUACCAGGAGCCUCGUCAGCUCAUCUAAAGUGCAAAACGCCAGCUGUCUCGCAUUCCAGAAAAUAGUCUCAGUCCUUGGAAGCGAUUUCAGCUACAACAGCUCUGACUUUGCACAGAGUGAUGUGUACAUCACCAUUAAGUCCUACCUGGGCACAGGUGGACCUAGGUGCUACAGCGCAAACGACCCAGAGCUGAACUCUACCGCCUGGUUUGUGAACUACAUCGGUGUUUUUGUGACCUACCUCUCUCUGGAGGACCUCAACACCUUUGUUACCGCGAGUCAGAUCAAUGUAUUCUUGGAGAACCAGGCCAAUAUCAAGCUCUUCAACAACACGGCUAUACCUGCUAACGUCACUUCCUACUACAUCACACAGCUAUACACACUGAACCCCACGUUCAACCCUCUGCAGUGAGUAUCCAUUUAUAGUGGCUGUUGUAGUAGUAGUGGUAGUAAUGGUGGUGGUGGUAGUGGUGGUAGUGGUAGUAAUGGUGGUAGUAAUGGUGGUAGUGAUAGUGGUGGUAGUAGUGGUAGUGGUAGUAAUGGUGGUGGUCGGUAGUGGUCGUGUAGUAGUAGUGGUAGUAAUGGUGGUGUUGUAGUAGUGGUGGUAAGUAGU
ensembl:lncRNA